rnacentral:rRNA from 1 species
CCUACGGGGGGCUGCAGUGGGGAAUAUUGGACAAUGGGCGAAAGCCUGAUCCAGCAAUGCCGCGUGAGUGAUGAAGGCCUUAGGGUUGUAAAGCUCUUUUACCAGGGAUGAUAAUGACAGUACCUGGAGAAUAAGCUCCGGCUAACUCCGUGCCAGCAGCCGCGGUAAUACGGAGGGAGCUAGCGUUGUUCGGAAUUACUGGGCGUAAAGCGCACGUAGGCGGCUAUUCAAGUCAGAGGUGAAAGCCCGGAGCUCAACUUCGGAACUGCCUUUGAAACUAGAUAGCUAGAAUCCUGGAGAGGUGAGUGGAAUUCCGAGUGUAGAGGUGAAAUUCGUAGAUAUUCGGAAGAACACCAGUGGCGAAGGCGGCUCACUGGACAGGUAUUGACGCUGAGGUGCGAAAGCGUGGGGAGCAAACAGGAUUAGAUACCCUAGUAGUC